GACGAACGCUGGCGGCGUGCUUAACACAUGCAAGUCGAACGAUGAAGUUCCUUCGGGAAUGGAUUAGUGGCGAACGGGUGAGGAACACGUGAGAAACCUGCCUUUCAUUUUGGGAUAACUCCGGGAAACCGGGGCUAAAACCGAAUACUCCGUCUCGGCGGCAUCGCUGAGCCGGGAAAAAAUUUUGAUGAAAGAAGGUCUCGCGGCCUAUCAGCUAGUUGGUGAGGUAAUGGCUCACCAAGGCAACGACGGGUAGCCGGCCUGAGAGGGCGACCGGCCACACUGGGACUGAGACACGGCCCAGACUCCUACGGGAGGCAGCAGUGGGGAAUAUUGGGUAAUGGGCGCAAGCCUGACCCAGCGACGCCGCGUGAGGGAUGAAGGCCUUCGGGUUGUAAACCUCUUUCAGUAGGGAAGAAGCGAAAGUGACGGUACCUAAAGAAGAAGCACCGGCUAACUAUGUGCCAGCCGCCGCAGUAA
rnacentral:rRNA from 1 species